GAUGAACGCUGGCGGCGUGCCUAAUACAUGCAAGUCGAGCGAACGGACGAGAAGCUUGCUUCUCUGAUGUUAGCGGCGGACGGGUGAGUAACACGUGGAUAACCUACCUAUAAGACUGGGAUAACUUCGGGAAACCGUAGCUAAUUCCGGAUAAUAUUUUGAACCGCAUGGUUCAAAAGUGAAAGACGGUCUUGCUGUCACUUAUAGAUGGAUCCGCGCUGCAUUAGCUAGUUGGUAAGGUAACGGCUUACCAAGGCAACGAUGCAUAGCCGACCUGAGAGGGUGUUCGGCCACACUGGAACUGAGACACGGUCCAGACUCCUACGGGAGGCAGCAGUAGGGAAUCUUCCGCAAUGGGCGAAAGCCUGACGGAGCAACGCCGCGUGAGUGAUGAAGGUCUUCGGAUCGUAAAACUCUGUUAUUAGGGAAGAACAUAUGUGUAAGUAACUGUGCACAUCUUGACGGUACCUAAUCAGAAAGCCACGGCUAACUACGUG
rnacentral:rRNA from 1 species